rnacentral:rRNA from 1 species
CCUACGGGAGGCAGCAGUAGGGAAUCUUCCGCAAUGGACGAAANUNUGACGGAGCAACGCCGCGUGAGCGAUGAAGGCNUUCGGGUCGUAAAGCUCUGUUGUCAGGGAAGAACAAGUAUCGGAGUAACUGCCGGUACCUUGACGGUACCUGACCAGAAAGCCACGGCUAACUACGUGCCAGCAGCCGCGGUAAUACGUAGGUGGCAAGCGUUGUCCGGAAUUAUUGGGCGUAAAGCGCGCGCAGGCGGUUCCUUAAGUCUGAUGUGAAAGCCCCCGGCUCAACCGGGGAGGGUCAUUGGAAACUGGGGAACUUGAGUGCAGAAGAGGAGAGCGGAAUUCCACGUGUAGCGGUGAAAUGCGUAGAGAUGUGGAGGAACACCAGUGGCGAAGGCGGCUCUCUGGUCUGUAACUGACGCUGAGGCGCGAAAGCGUGGGGAGCGAACAGGAUUAGAUACCCUGGUAGUCCACGCCGUAAACGAUGAGUGCUAAGUGUUAGAGGGUUUCCGCCCUUUAGUGCUGCAGCAAACGCAUUAAGCACUCCGCCUGGGGAGUACGGCCGCAAGGCUGAAACUCAAAUGAAUUGACGGGG